rnacentral:rRNA from 1 species
AAAAUACAACUUUCAACAACGGAUCUCUUGGCUCUCGCAUCGAUGAAGAACGCAGCGAAAUGCGAUACGUAAUGUGAAUUGCAGAAUUCAGUGAAUCAUCGAAUCUUUGAACGCAUAUUGCGCUCUUUGGUAUUCCGAAGAGCAUGCUUGUUUGAGUAU